ACCCAGCUGAUGAGUCCCAAAUAGAGCGAAACGCGCUACCUGGAU
rnacentral:hammerhead_ribozyme from 1 species